rnacentral:misc_RNA from 1 species
AGAGAGAGAGAGAGAGAGAAAUUUUACCAUGUGUGGACGAAGACGAUUGUUGUCAAAGGAUAGAUUGAGUCGGUGAAAUUGUGCUGGUUUUGUAGGAAAGUCGCACAAGUGCCACUCAUCCUUCUCUCUCUUUCUCUGUGGCUGUUCCGCGUUCGUUCGAGUUCUGCUCGCUCGUAACUCCUUUCUAAACUCAAAUAUUUUAUUCAUUAUCCUCUUUAACGGUUUGAUAAUUAUUGUAAAAUCAUAUUAUCAUUACUGUUGUAAUGCUUUAUAGCUAAA